CAUUGCUUUUGCUUAAGUUUUUAUUAAAUAGUCUCUUACCUUCUGAUAAUCACAUUCCUUCAACUGAAACUUUGAUUUGCAAGAGGUAAUCCCUGCAUUUGUUAUCACAUACUCUUGCUCAGCAAAUGUCACAGCUUCAUCAUCUGUGAAACAAUACUCAGGUUUAGAGGGAGACAUUUCACAUGACAAGGCUUUUUGUUAGCGUAUGGUAACCCCAACUCAUGCAAACACCAAUAGUUGAGUUGUUCCUUUCUUCCAAGAAUAUUAUAACUCAUAAACAUACAACCUUUAGUGGAUGGAGGCAGAAAAAACUUGCCUGAUACAGUUGAUGGGAAGAUUUCAGUCAGGAGUUUUACGCAGUCCCUCAGCGCCUGGAGUUCAGCUUCCUUCUCAUGGAGUUUGGACUGGGCAGAAUGCAAUUCAGAUUCUAGCUCCUCAAUUUGAUUUUCCUGCUGUUCGAUGAGCAAAUGGGGCAGUUUUCGUUCCAGUUCAGAUGGCAAUACUCCAUGGCAUUGGCAAGAAAUAUUGCUCUGACCCUCCAGUUUGUGAAGCCCACCAGAAAAAGUCUCAUUCUGCACAAUAUGUUUCUAGUAAAAACUACGGAAUACCCCAUCCUUAGAGCCAGUCACAGAUGGACAAUCCAGUGUUCAAGCCACUAACUUAUAACAUGUCAUUCUUCCAGACUCAAGGUUACAAUCUACAGUUUACCAUGAAUCAGGUUUUUGAAGACCCAUGUAUCAACUGUCAUUACAACUGGUAAAGGCACCAACAAACUACUAAUCCAAAAUAUAGAUCCUAUUUAUAAAUUUCCCAACAAAUGAAGCUAAUGACUUCCAUGAAUGUUUACAAUGUGAUUCAAGUUGCACUAUUAUUUUAAUUAUCAUUGAGUUCCUAAUUGUAGAUUUGUAGGUUCCUAGGAUAAAGGUAGCAUGAAUGCAAAAGAAAUCAAUUUUCCAUUAUAGUAAUUGUCAAAACUAGCAACAAUUACCGGAAGCACACCCAAGCAUGACAUGCAUUUUUCAAUAUGUAAUAGCUUCUUGUUAACCAGGUUGCUAUGAAAUGAGAGGGAUACUAAACUUUUAACGGACACUGAGGUGAAAUAAAGAAAUAAACCUUCUGCCUAUGAUUGAAGUAAAAGUUUUAUAAAACUGAAAACAAGUUGUUUCAUAUCUUAUAUGGGCAGAUAAAUGCACCAACAGGAAGGGCAUGACUUUUACUGGUAAGAAAAUCUAGAGAAUAAACAACACGCAUGUUUUUGAAAAGGCUCACCUUAUCCAUAUUUGGUUCAACUCCUUCAUGACCAGAAGCUUCAGGAUAGGACCAUGAAAGUUUUUGUAGUUCAGAUGCAAGCUCUGCUUUCGGUUGAUCCAUUUCCAGCAGCCGUGGCUCUGGCUCUUCUGUAAGACCACUACUUGGGCAUUCAACAUCAUCAAUCAUUGGGAUCCCAGAAACUUUGAUAACUUUGGGGUCGUUAUUGUGUCCUGUACCUGCUCUAUAAAACUCUAGUUCAUUAUUACUGCUUAAAUCUUUUGAGAUAGCAGCAACUUUGGCUGACCUUCUUUUAUACAGUUCAGUUCUUAAUUCUUUAACAGUUUUUGCAGUCUCAUCCAUGGCAUUGCUUAGCUCACUGAUCUCAGCUUUCUCGGCUGACAUCAUGUACAUGAUUCCAAUGCCAAGUCCACAACCAAACAAAGAGCUAUCUGCAGAGCACAAUAUGAUGUCAGCUCAAUAAAUACAUGAAAUAUAUUGGAGAACAAACUUCAAAACAAAGAAGUAUUUCCUUAGAGUCAAAGAAACCAAGUCAUAGUUCUCCAUCAACAUGUCAGUCAAUUUUGACAACUGAUAAGAUGCCAAGAACAAGGAACAUUAAGAUUGAUUUAUUAUCAGUUUUUUGGCAAAACAGGUAAAAUCACUCUUUGAUAAAUGUCUUUACAAGCAGACCCAUUAUACAGUCACAUUUCUAUGUUUAAGGAACCAUUUGGUAACAUUGCCUAGAUCAAGAAUUUCUCUAUGUUUAAGGAACCAUUGGUUAACAUUACAAGUUUACAACUGUAACUCCCCGCAAAUCUGUUCCUUCCCCUGCUCUCAUUGGUUAAUGCAUUUUGACAAAGUGAUAUCUCCAACAACAGAAAUACAAGAUGUUAAAAAUGGGUUCAGAGCUUGAUGAGUCAACCUGACCCAGCUAGGAAAUAGCAGCAAAUAUGUAGUUAUUGGCAAUUAAUUUCACUAAUUUAUAAAUAAGAUUUGCAUAAAUAAUAAUUGAGACCUGAGAGUUAAUAUAUAAUAUUGAAACAACAUGAAAAGAUUCUUGCUUUCUCUCGUAUUCUUGGAUUAUGAAUAGUAGGUGUUUCUCAACAGUGAUUGCAGCUUGAUUGAGAGCAUAUAAAAAUAGUCGUUCACCAAAACAGCUUGGAAAACAAGUCAAGCGGUAAAAAAGUUUCAAUUUGCCGCAAUUAUAUUUUUCUUUGUAUUAUAUAUUUAUAGGUUACAUAUAUGUUUGUUGCAUGCAUCCUCUAAAAUUUCAAACCAUAUUUUUUAUUAAAUUUAAGCAUUAACUCACAAUAAUAGAUUCAGAAAUACACAAGAGCCUCACAAAUCGCAGAAAUUUUGAAGCAAUCAACUAGCAGGGGUUUUGGGAAUUAACGCAAUCACAUGGUUCCCGCUUGUUUCCUUGUUUUAAUUUUCCAAUUUGGAAAUUAUCUGUUUGAUCAUCUCGGUUUGAUCAUGUUUCGCAAUUUUUGGUCUUAAUCUGCUUUGAUCAACCUAUUUUAUAUCAUGCAUAAUAAAGAAAAUAAUUAUCAAUUCGGAUCUGAAAAUUAUUUUUUUAAUUAUGCAUGAUAUGAAAAAUAUGCUCAAAUCACAUGGUUCCUGCUUGUUUUCUUGUUUUAAUUUUCCAAUUUGGAAAUUAUCUGUUUGAUAAUCUCGGUUUGAUCAUGUUUCGCAAUUUUUGGUCUUAAUCUGCUUUGAUCAACCUUUUUUAUAUCAUGCAUAAUUAAGAAAAUAAUUAUCAAUUCGGAUCUGAAAAUUAUUUUUUUAAUUAUGCAUGAUAUGAAAAAUAUGCUCAAAUCACAUGGUUCCCGCUUGUUUCCUUGUUUUAAUUUUCCAAUUUGGAAAUUAUCUGUUUGAUCAUCUCGGUUUGAUCANNNNN
rnacentral:lncRNA from 1 species